UAAUCACCCAAACAACCAUUUUUACCCAUUUUCAACCCCUUCUGGAUCUGUGUCGCAAGUCUGCCGUGAGCUCGUCUGUCUCUUUCACUGCGGAUACCGUGAAGGGGGAGGCCCCGGACCGCGAGGAGGGAGAGACGCCAAGAGAAUUGGCACUUUGGAGAGAAGUCCGUGCGAAUCGUCUCCAUCUAUCAUGCCGGCUGGGUUUCCACAGCGGCGUUAUUGAUGUAGUAAAUUAGAGGAGGCGCACAUCAGGUAGCUGACGGAUCGGAGGCAUCAACAGCAAACUUAUAAUCGCAGCUGUGCUCACAGUGGGAGGAGGAAGGGGAAAGUCAGACGCCCAGCAGGACAGGAAAUCGCGUGACAAAAAGGCAUUGAUUAGCACGAUAACAAGAAAACAAAUGAACGGAUCUCCGCAAAACCUGGAUGGAGAAUGGGUCUCGAGCCAGAAUAGACCCCAUUACCUUUUGGUGCAGAUCUGGAGAGGGAUGAAGCCAGGGAUUUCUUUCUCACUUUCGACAUUCAACAUUUUUGCUGAUUUCACACAGAAUAAUACUUGGAUCUUGAGGACAUUUUUCUGCAGAUGGUGAGCGCAAAAGUUAAAUAGGUGGGGUUUGCCGGUCAUCAGCCCAAAGUGUCAGAUAAUCAACAAUCAGCUAUCUUAAAUUAGACCUUUAGAUUAUGGUCAAGCAGUUAUGGGUGGUGAUGAUACAGGGCUUUGGAGUUGGAUUCUGGAUUAGACCACUGGGCCUUGGCAGAGGUAUUCACAGACUUUCAUGUCAAGAAGGAAGGUAUGGUGGUGGUGUGACAGAGAUGGUGGGAUCUUACUUCUCCUCAGUUACUGUGCCUAAACCUUACCAAAGGAGAAGCACACCAUCGUCACAACAUAGAAUUGAAAGCUGAACCUGAAGAAUGUAUAAUGUAUAAUUGCAGCACAAAGAAAUGUGUGGUUUAAGCUUAUCAACAUUUAUUCUGAGGUUUGGGCUGACUGCUGUGUAUUAAAUGAAUUGUCUGUCUCUCUUUUAAUGUGAAGGCUUCCUCCAAUUUCCCGCCUGGCAGGCUCUGUCUCCAUCGCCUACUGGAAGUCAAACCGCACCAUUACAUCACUCUGCAUUCGCACAGCCCUUAUGCGGUGCAGCGUAUUAGCGCACACUGUAUUACAUUAAAGGUGCGGACCUUUAGCACAGAAGCACAUUCACACACAUCCUAAUCAACAAGAGCUGCUUUAAAUGAUUCAGAGACACGGCUCGGCCCUAUCCAUAUUCUCUGGUGAGAGAGGCGAGGAUAUAUUUGGAACAUCACACUUUUAAGAGCGUGAGCCUCAACUCCCCUGGGUCAUUUUCUGCUCUGGUCUUAAUUGAGAGUGUUCUGGAAAAAUCAUUACUAUAUUAAUGAUUUAACACAAAGUAACUACCUGCUUUUUUCCAGGAGGAAAGGGAGAUUUGCUUCGAAUCAAUACCCAUGCACGCUCAUUAUAAGGGGGGUAAAGUUAUAGUAAUUAGGCAGACACCAAUAACUUUUUAAUGAUCUUUGUUUUUAAUUGCAUAUUAUCGGGCUGCACAGUCUGUGUGUUUAUACCCAAAUAUAAGAUAAUGGUGAGGGGAGAAGUAGAUUAAAGAGAGGAGGCACCUGCAAGGUUUUUUACCUCAGCAACAACAACAAUGACGACCGCGCUGAUAGUCCACAGAAGGCACGGAGGUGGAGAGGAUGAAUGUGAGCAUCAUUUGUGCAUUUUCCAUCAGUUUCCCAGCAAUGUGCCCUAACGUAUGUGUUGUGAAACAGCACUUCCCUUCCUGCUGUCUAUGAGGCUGAGGAAGUGAAAGGACUUGUCACGAAAAAAAAAAAAAAAAAUGGUGUGAGAAGGUUUCGGAGAGAUCAAACCAUCAAUAUGACAGCGCAGCCGCUUCCUGGCUAUAAAAAGAUGCCUCGCAGGUGAAGUGAAAAUCAUCCACAGCGCAAAACCCUCUGUUAAUUUAACCUCCGUUUUAACAGACCGGAGGCGGCCUUGUGUGCCAGUGUGGCCUAGGAUGGUGCCGUUUUAACCACUGUGAGAAAAAGCAAUAAAAAUAUGAAUGCAAAUGAGGAUAAAAUGCAACGGCAACGGAUAGCCAUCUGUUAGCUCUUAAAGGGGAAGUGGUCUCCUCAAAGCAGUGGAGGGGUGAGCAUCUAAGAGAGGAUAGGGAGGGUGGGAGUGAGUGAGCGGGAGAAAUGUGGUGAUAGAAAGAGCCCAGGAAUGCCAGGCUGGCAAUCCAGGACUGCUCUGAAUAAGUGAGCCAGCCAAGAGCUU